CUACGUGCCAGCAGCCGCGGUAAUACGGAAGGUCCAGGCGUUAUCCGGAUUUAUUGGGUUUAAAGGGAGCGUAGGCUGGAGAUUAAGUGUGUUGUGAAAUGUAGACGCUCAACGUCUGAAUUGCAGCGCAUACUGGUUUCCUUGAGUACGCACAACGUUGGCGGAAUUCGUCGUGUAGCGGUGAAAUGCUUAGAUAUGACGAAGAACUCCGAUUGCGAAGGCAGCUGACGGGAGCGCAACUGACGCUUAAGCUCGAAGGUGCGGGUAUCAAACAGGAUUAGAUACCCUGGUAGUCCGCACAGUAAACGAUGGAUGCCCGCUGUUGGUACCUGGUAUCAGCGGCUAAGCGAAAGCAUUAAGCAUCCCMCCUGGGGAGUACGCCGGCAACGGUGAAACUCAAAGGAAUUGACGGGGGCCCGCACAAGCGGAGGAACAUGUGGUUUAAUUCGAUGAUACGCGAGGAACCUUACCCGGGCUUGAAUUGCAGAGGAAGGAUUUAGAGAUA
rnacentral:rRNA from 1 species